UGACUUGUUCACGCUGGAUGACAUCGAUGCUGCUUUUCAAAAUGUGACCAGACUGACAAACUCUCAGCUGACAAUGACCAAAUUUCUGCCCUUCAAUGGUUGAGUUUCCCUCACUGUGGCCUCAAUUAUUGGUCAUGUUUACGAGUUGUGUGAGCUUAUCUUUGAACCAGUGAUUCCUAACCAGUCUCUUGGUCUCAUUUCAAAGGAUUUGAGUGAGAAUGAGUUAGUCGGGAAAAUUCCACCAAUACUAGGCAAUCUGUCCUAUACUGGCAAGCUGUGAGUUGGAGACUACCACAUCUGGUUUAUGAUCUUAGCAAUGCGUAUAUGCCAUGAUUGGUCAUUGUGUUUUCUGUUUAUUCUUCCCAGGUACCUACACAGUAACAAGCUCACUGGGCCAAUUCCACCCGAAUUGGGGAACAUGUCCAAGCUAAGCUAUCUGUGAGGGUUCCUUCUUUAAAAUAAAAUUUCCAUCAUUUGUGUUGUUAGGGAAAAAAGAUAAUGUUGUCCUCAGAUGGGAUGAGAGAUAUAAGAUUGCUAUCAAUGUAGCCGAGGCACUUGAUUAUCUAUAUAGCCGCAGUGCUCAGUCCGUUAUCCAUAGGGAUGUGAAAUCAUCGAAUAUCCUUUGUAUAUAUUUUGUGGCUAGUUGAUAUGUGAUGGGUGUGACCCACCUUCUUCUUCUUCUUUUUUUCCUUCAACGGAUGUAAAGCAUUCUUUUCUGUCUUAAUAAAAUUUCUUAGGGGUGUACCCUACCUUUUACAAAAAUAAGAAAAUUUGCUAGAUUAACAAAACUCCAUUUUGAAAGGAACCUGUGUAAUUGAUUAAAAAAGGUUUAAAACUCUAUAUGUUUUAAUAAUCUGUCCAUUUUAUAGAUGGAUGGGACUCUGUUUUGUGUUUCUUUCCUGAUCAGAUGUGUAGGGUUGUUUGUCAAUUUGGUAACUGGGAUUUCAGCACAGUUGCAGGGCCUAUUCUCAUGUCUGGCAACCUGGAUUUUGGGGAUUUCAAAUCCUGAUUUAUAAAUUCACCUGUUUAACUGGCUUACAAAAUCCAGGGAUUGCAAAUCCUCCCCAAAGGUCAUUUUUAAAAUGUUUAUUGAAGGGAGACGUGUGUUCUAAAAAACCGUCCAUAUGGUUUUGUGGGCCCCAGAUGAUGUCUGAAUGACAAAAAAAAAAUGGUCCUGUUUUGAAAGCCUAUUGAUAUGGCUCUCAAACAAUCAAAUAUCAUGGACUCUUUAUGUCAUUUUUCUUACAUGUGACUCUGAUAUCAUUUAAAUGAACUAUUAUGAUGGAAUUAGGUAAGAGUAGUAUGAUGGGAUUUAGAUAAUUUGUCAUUUUUAAAAUAUUUUGUUAAAAUGGAUGAUCCUAAUUAGAAUAAAGAAUGUUUAAUACUAAAUCAGGGUUGAUUUGCUUGGGAAAAAGUAUAUAUGCAUGUAAUUCUUUUAUGACGGGAAUGAUGAAUGGAAUUUUAGUUUACUUCUCCCAACUAAUUUUGUUUAUGUUUCAUUUUAGUAUAUUGACUUGUUUUGUUGCUAGAUGACAAGACAACUAUGGCUGUACUUCAAUCUUGAAAUCCGAUUCACUAAUCUUAGAAUGUAUUUACACAAUUUCCAGGACAAUGCCUUUUGGAAAUCUAAACAUCCAAGGAUGCUAACACUGUUAAUGAUGUUAUGGAAUUUGUACUUCAAAACUUCACAGAGACGAAUAAACUUUGGGUCCGAAUGCAUCAUCAGGGCCCCCUAAUCUCUGAUCAAACAGCUUGUGGGGCCCACUCCUGGGCUUUCGUGGAACCAACUCCUAGGCUGCAGCAUCACACGUCAUCGAGUUCAAAAUCAAAAUGGACAUUUCCUAUUACACAUUUCUUAAGUUGCUUAUGUUUUAUAUUUAGAGGAGUAGCUGAAUAAUUUUUAAGACGUACGGCAGUUCACUCAAAUAUCUACAUUUCCUACACAUUCGGCUUGAGCUUUAGGCCAUUCAUGUGGGUGUGUUAUUAUAAACCUUAAGCUGAUGAAAUUGAAAAUGUUGGAAAAUUGCAUUUACAUGAUGUUGAUAAAACCUAAUUCAAUUGCAACAGUCAGUCCCAGGUUAUUACUGUAACAUUCAGAUUCUAGUUUUUUCUCCAGCUUUUCCUGUUUGUGUUUUUGUUUAUUGAGUUGAAGUGAUUUGAUCAUUCCUCAAUGCCAGGGUAUUGAACGUGCUAACUCUUUUAAACGGGGCCCAGAAGAAGCUGUCAGCGAUCAGAUUGUGGGAGAACACAAAGAAGGCUUCUGUGGAAGCUCAGCUGAAAAAGAUAAGAGAUGGGCCAUGUUGCUGAAAAAACACCAGACGAGUGAUACCAGGCAUGUGCCGAAGAAGAUCCUUGAGUGCUUUGGAGGUUGGAAAUUCCCAAACAUAAAUUGAAAGAAAGUAGAAAUGAUGAUUGUUGGGGUGAAUUGAAUCGUGACUCGGUGGUUUGCUUUUUUUCAUUUUAUAACUUUGUGUUCAAAUCUCUUAGAGAGCUUAAAUUCUUUACAAAGUUUCUGUCUUUGAUUACAUGUUCUAAGGAUUGAAACUAUCCUAGUGAAAAAAUGAUGCUUGUAAGAAUGAAGCCGCUAUUCAAGUAACCUGGAAUACCAUUUGGUUUUGUGUUGGGAAUUUGAAUCAGAAGAGAAAUAUUCAGUGUUUCUGUUUUUUGAUUUUCCAAAAAGUUGUUUAGAUAUAGGGUGCAUUUGGUUGCACCAAAUAUAAUGAAAUUUCUUGAUGUUUUGCACUAAACUAGGCUGAUUAAUAAUGAAAUAUUAUGAAAUUUCAUGAUAUUUAGUGCACCCAAACACACCGUUACUGAUUUUUUGUUCUUCUAUGUAUUAGAAACCUUCUUAAAAUGAUACUAAAUGGGAUGUUUUGUUUUUAGGUUGACAGUGUAAAGAAGCAUGGGAUUCUACUAGAAGUAGUUUAGUUUCUGAUUGAUCUGAAACUUCAUGAGCUCUAGUAGUAAAUAACUAUUGCAUUCUUCAUGAGCUCUAGUAGUGUUUGAACUGCAUCUAUCCCAGAUUUUAUUUCAGUCUGCUGUAUCUGUAUUGCAUUGGGAAUCCUGUGCUGAUUCCGUUCCUGAUGGAGCAGACAGUACUAAUUGAGAAAUCUUUUCAUUGAUUGAGUAAAGAUGAUCCAUUGGCCUUCAUUGAUUUGGAUGCAGAUCAUUUCUUAAUAGAUAAAUCCUAUCGGCAUGCAUUAAGCUUUUCAAGAACACUUU